AGAGUUUGAUCAUGGCUCAGGACGAACGCUGGCGGCGUGCCUAAUACAUGCAAGUCGAGCGAAUCAAUAGGAGCUUGCUCCUGUUGGUUAGCGGCGGACGGGUGAGUAACACGUGGGCAACCUGCCUGUAAGACUGGGAUAACUUCGGGAAACCGGAGCUAAUACCGGAUAAUCCUUUUCCUCUCAUGAGGGAAAGCUGAAAGACGGUUUCGGCUGUCACUUACAGAUGGGCCCGCGGCGCAUUAGCUAGUUGGUGAGGUAACGGCUCACCAAGGCGACGAUGCGUAGCCGACCUGAGAGGGUGAUCGGCCACACUGGGACUGAGACACGGCCCAGACUCCUACGGGAGGCAGCAGUAGGGAAUCUUCCACAAUGGACGAAAGUCUGAUGGAGCAACGCCGCGUGAGCGAUGAAGGCCUUCGGGUCGUAAAGCUCUGUUGUUAGGGAAGAACAAGUAUCGGAGUAACUGCCGGUACCUUGACGGUACCUAACCAGAAAGCCACGGCUAACUACGUGCCAGCAGCCGCGGUAAUACGUAGGUGGCAAGCGUUGUCCGGAAUUAUUGGGCGUAAAGCGCGCGCAGGCGGUCCUUUAAGUCUGAUGUGAAAGCCCACGGCUCAACCGUGGAGGGUCAUUGGAAACUGGGGGACUUGAGUACAGAAGAGGAAAGCGGAAUUCCACGUGUAGCGGUGAAAUGCGUAGAGAUGUGGAGGAACACCAGUGGCGAAGGCGGCUUUCUGGUCUGUAACUGACGCUGAGGCGCGAAAGCGUGGGGAGCAAACAGGAUUAGAUACCCUGGUAGUCCACGCCGUAAACGAUGAGUGCUAAGUGUUAGGGGGUUUCCGCCCCUUAGUGCUGCAGCUAACGCAUUAAGCACUCCGCCUGGGGAGUACGGCCG
rnacentral:rRNA from 1 species